AACCAAACCACCGCUCAAAUCACUUCCCCCCAUGUGUUGAAUAUUUGCAAUCUCACUCACACUCAUUCACAUCUUUUCUUCACUUCUUUCUCCCACAAUUCCCAAAAUGUACCGACAAUUUUUCUAACUGCAAAAUCACCAAAACCCAUAUAAAAAUUCAAAUCCCAUGAAUCCCCUGUCAAUGUGCUCAUCUUCUUCCUCACAAUCAAGCUCAACAAAAACUUGGGUUGUUCAUGGGCUAGUGUUGGGUGCAGCUGCUGCGGCAGCAAUCGGCGCGCACGCUUACUUCUUUCUUCGCCGAUCCAGAAAAUUCCGUGCGCGCGUCAUUGGAAUUAUACCCGCGCGCUUUGCAUCUUCUCGCUUUGAAGGCAAACCUCUUGUAGAAAUUCUCGGAAAACCCAUGAUCCAGAGGACAUAUGAAAGAGCGAAGCUAGCUUCUAUGCUGGAUCAAGUUGUUGUGGCGACGGAUGACAAUAAGAUAGCCGAAUGCUGCCGAGGAUUUGGUGCAGAUGUAAUAAUGACGUCAGAAUCGUGUCGAAAUGGUGCUGAGCGUUGCAGUGAAGCACUUCAAAAGCUUACCAAGAAAUACGAUGUUGUCGUCAACAUUCAAGGAGAUGAGCCUUUGAUUGAUCCUGAGAUAAUAGAUGGGAUAGUUAAAGCUCUCCAGUCUGCUCCAGAUGCUGUCUUCAGCACUGCUGUCACACCUUUAAAGCCUGAGGAUGCUUUUGAUCCAAACCGUGUCAAAUGUGUUGUGGAUAAUCUUGGCUAUGCUAUCUACUUCUCCAGAGGACUCAUCCCAUAUAACAAAUCUGGGAAGGUCAAUCCGGAUUUUCCAUAUAUGCUUCAUCUUGGUAUUCAGAGCUAUGAUGCUGAAUUCCUCAAAAUAUAUCCAGAUCUGCAACCUACGCCGUUGCAACUAGAAGAAGAUCUUGAACAACUCAAAGUUCUAGAAAACGGCUAUAAAUUGAAGGUUAUAAAGGUUGAGCAUGAAGCUCAUGGAGUCGAUGUUCCUGAAGAUGUAGAAAAGAUAGAAAGAUAUAUGCGAGAGAAAAACUUAUCCUAGUGUAUAAGAGAAUAUUAUUACAGAAGUACAGACGAUUCAGUGUGAUUAAUGGAGGAAUUUCAGAAUAACAAAAGUACUAGAGGUAGGAACUACAACAUUGUUUUCAGCAGGUGGAUCAUUAAACAAAACAUAGUCAAGAUCGUUGAUCACAGGCAAUUGAGAACUUUUGAGACCACCUCUUAUAAUUAGUUUCAUUUAAAGGUUUCAACUUUGACAUAUCCAAGAUAAAUCUACUAUGAGAACUAUAUAUGAUUUUAAUAGAACAAAUUCAUUUUUAAAUUGUAAGAAAUGAAUGAGCAAAAAUCAAAUAACUGAACCUGAAUUACAAGAACAA